rnacentral:rRNA from 1 species
UACAGAGGGGGCAAGCGUUAUUCGGAAUCAUUGGGCUUAAAGCGCGUGUAGGCGGCUUGGUAAGCGACCCGUGAAAUCUCACUGCUCAACGGUGAAACUGCGGGGCGAACUGCCUGGCUUGAGGUUGGUAGAGGUGCCUGGAACUCUAGGUGGAGCGGUGAAAUGCGUAGAUAUCUAGAGGAACAUCAGAGGCGAAAGCGGGGCACGGGGCCAAUAUUGACGCUGAGACGCGAAAGCGUGGGGAGCAAACAGG